AUGCUCACUUCAGCAGUAUGCACACUAAAAUUGGAACAAUACAGAGAAGAUGAACAUGGCUCUUGCAUGAGGAGAACAUGCAAAUUCAUGAAGCAUUCCUUAUUUAA